UACGUAGGGUGCAAGCGUUAAUCGGAAUUACUGGGCGUAAAGGGUGCGUAGGCGGUUCGUUAAGUCUGUCGUGAAAUCCCCGGGCUCAACCUGGGAAUGGCGAUGGAUACUGGCGAGCUAGAGUGUGUCAGAGGAAGGUGGAAUUCCCGGUGUAGCAGUGAAAUGCGUAGAGAUCGGGAGGAACACCAGUGGCGAAGGCGGCCUUCUGGACCAAUACUGACGCUCAUGCACGAAAGCGUGGGGAGCAAACAGG
rnacentral:rRNA from 1 species